GGCCCUAUCGUCUAGUCUGGUCCAGGACACCGCCCUCUCACGGCGACAACACCGGUUCAAAUCCGGUUAGGGUCA
rnacentral:tRNA from 1 species